GCUGUCGUAGCUCAGUGGUAGAGCAAUUCGUUGGUAACGAAUAGGUCGGGAGUUCGAGUCUCCCCGUCAGCACCA
rnacentral:tRNA from 1 species